rnacentral:rRNA from 1 species
UACGGGGGGGGUAAGCGUUGUUCGGAAUUACUGGGCGUAAAGGGCUCGUAGGCGGCCAACUAAGUCAUACGUGAAAUCCCUCAGCUUAACUGGGGAACUGCGUGUGAUACUGGAUGGCUUGGAUGUGGGAGAGGGAUGCGGAAUUCCAGGUGUAGCGGUGAAAUGCGUAGAUAUCUGGAGGAACACCGGUGGCGAAGGCGGCAUCCUGGACCAUUAUUGACGCUGAGGAGCGAAAGCCAGGGGAGCAAACGGG